AAAAGCGUUUGGCUUAUUAGGGGCGAGCGAAUCGUGAGGAUGGCUAACCGAGGAGUUUUCUCCUCGGGGUUGUAGGUCUGCUAUGUGGACUUAAAGAGUAUAGAAUAACUACCUGGGAAGGUAGGCCAAAGAGAGUUAUAGCCUCGUAUUUGAAAUAUUCUUUAUACCUAGCAGUAUCCUGAGUACGGCGAGACACGCGAAAUCUCGUCGGUAUCUGGGAGGACCAUCUCCCAACCCUUAAUACUCUCUAGUGACCGAUAGUGAACCAGUACCGUGAGGGAAAGGUGAAAAGUACCCCGGAAGGGGUGUGAAAUAGAACCUGAAACCGUGUGCCUACAACAAGUUCGAGCCCGUUAAUGGGUGAGAGCGUGCCUUUUGUAG
rnacentral:rRNA from 1 species